rnacentral:lncRNA from 1 species
UAAACUUAUUUUUUUUGGUAAUCUAUUUAAACUUAUUAUACAAAUAUAUGAUUCAUUCUCUUCAUUGUAAUCGACUGCACUGUAAUAAAAUUAAACUUCAAUAUAUUUUAAUCCGUUAAUUUUUUUUUUUUUUUUAGUAAAAGAUUAAAUGAAUUAUUUUAAUAAUCCGUUAAAAUUUAUAUAUAAGUAAUUAUUUCUCCCGCGCUGUAUCGCGGGUCAAAACCUAGUAGAGUUACAUUUUAUAUAACAAAAAUUUGAUAAAAUCGAACCGAGUCUAAACCGGAACAGUUUUGAUUAAACCAUUUUUUUAUUUCUUUUAUGUAUUUAUAUAUAUUGAUGUUGGUGUUAAAUCAGACCUUCCCACUUUAAUUAAGCCGGCGGCUGUCAGCCUUAAGUCUGAUAAAUCUAGGAUUGGUCCCCACGUUUCCUUCUUUUUUUUUAUAUUUCUCCUUUUUCCAAUUUUUAUUUAUUUUGUCGUAUCUAUGGGAUAAUUAAUAAAAAUUAAAUAAGCUAAUUUAUUCGGA